AUAGCUUCUUGGCCUUUUGGCUCAGAUCAAGUGUGGUAUCUGUUCCUCUCAGUAAAACAGAAAUCUCAAGUUAAAGCAGUAUAAACUUGUAAUUUACAAACAUAACAUAA
ensembl:snRNA U2 U2 spliceosomal RNA